rnacentral:rRNA from 1 species
UUGAACGCUGGCGGCAUGCCUUACACAUGCAAGUCGAACGGCAGCACGGGUGCUUGCACCUGGUGGCGCGUGGCGAACGGGUGAGUAAUACAUCGGAACAUGUCCUGUAGUGGGGGAUAGCCCGGCGAAAGCCGGAUUAAUACCGCAUACGAUCUACGGAUGAAAGCGGGGGACCUUCGGGCCUCGCGCUAUAGGGUUGGCCGAUGGCUGAUUAGCUAGUUGGUGGGGUAAAGGCCUACCAAGGCGACGAUCAGUAGCUGGUCUGAGAGGACGACCAGCCACACUGGGACUGAGACACGGCCCAGACUCCUACGGGAGGCAGCAGUGGGGAAUUUUGGACAAUGGGCGAAAGCCUGAUCCAGCAAUGCCGCGUGUGUGAAGAAGGCCUUCGGGUUGUAAAGCACUUUUGUCCGGAAAGAAAUCCUUGGCCCUAAUACGGUCGGGGGAUGACGGUACCGGAAGAAUAAGCACCGGCUAACUACGUG